rnacentral:rRNA from 1 species
UUAAUUGGAGAGUUUGAUCCUGGCUCAGAACGAACGCUGGCGGCGUGCCUAACACAUGCAAGUCAACGAGAAAUCAUCUUCUAUGAAGGUGAGAGUAAAGUGGCGCACGGGUGAGUAACGCGUGGGUAACCUGCCCCUGAAUCUGGGAUAAUCCGCCGAAAGGCGGCCUAAUACCGGAUAAUAUCUC